rnacentral:pre_miRNA from 1 species
AAAGGGAUAGCUGGGUCAUAUGGUUCCAUUCCUAGUCUUUUGAGGAAUCUCCAUACUGCUUUCCAAAGAGGUUGUACUAAUUUGCAGUCCUACCGACAAU